rfam:Hordeum vulgare subsp. vulgare, WGS project CAJW01000000 data, contig: morex_contig_8920
GGUAUACUUCCUCCAUACGGAAUUAUUUGCCGCAAAAAUGGAUAGAAAUGAAUGUAUCUAGAACUAAAAUACAUCUAGAUAUAUCCAUUCUUCGGACAAGUAUUUUUGGAUGGAGGGAGUAUUAU